GAUGCGUUUCCUGCUGGUCUCCGUAUUAUUGCUGUCGAUGACGAUCCCACCUGGUUGAAAAUCCUUGGAAAGAUGCUCGAGAAGUGCUCUUAUGAAGGUUAAUUCGUCAACCUCUGCUUUUUGUGUUCCUCGUUUCACUCUAUCAAGCUUGCUUUUUCACUACCACUGUUGAUUAUGAACGGAGUUAGCGGGGCAAAUGAACCCGCCUAACUCCUUUUUAUUUAUUUUUGAAACUUCUAAUUCUUCAAUAUUAUUCCUUGCAUGGUUGCAUCAGUUUCUUUUUCUUUGGUGCUCUAUGAUGGUAAUUAUUAACAUGUCGUUUCUAUUUUGUUGUUCUGCUACAUGGGUUCUUUAGGAUAGCUUGUCUUUCAUGUUGAAAAGUGCAUUUGAAAAUCGAAAUUUAUGAUUUCUAUCUCACUCAGAGUGCUAUGUAUGUCUUGUUUGAGCAUGAAGGUGACCUGAACCUAUAUGAAAUCAUGUUCUGGGUUUGUGAAUGCCGUUCAUGUUGUUUUUGAGUAUUUUUGCUGUGUACUUGUGGGAAUUGUUUUGUAUUAUUUGAGAAUUUAAUUCGUUGAUUUUGUUAAAUUGAAGCAUCGUCAUCAUAAUCAUGAACUUACUAUUGAGAAUGUUAUAAACUUAAAUAGCUGAGAAGGAUUUUCGUGGAAUUUUGAUUGUUGAUAGUCAUCUUGGAGUGUAUCUAGAAAUAUAUUUAUUCCUAUCAUUGGUGGUGACUUUUAACCUUUCCUACAUCUCCAUUUCCUGAAAUGGAGGCGUGGAUGAGUCAGACUGCAAGUCGUAUUGAUGCACUUCUGCAAGCGUUUGAAGAUAACUUCUCUAAAUUCCAAGUACUUAGUUAGGAAAGCUCAAGUGCCAUGAAAUGUUUUCUCAUGCAACUUUAUAAAUUAAUGAUGUGAAUUUCUUAUCAUUAGACUUGUGUUACUCUAUAAAGAUUUGCCCUUGUUUUCUGGAGUUGGCUAGAUUAAAAAACUGAAAUUGUUUGUCACGAGCUGGGUUUAUUAUAAGGUUCAUGAAUCAACCAAGUUCUAAUUGGAUGAAGUUAUAUAACAUGGCAUUUUAAUUUGGAUAACAUGUGUUUAUGUCUCAUCCAAUUUGAACGAUAUUGAUGCAUUUUAAGAAAAGCUCAACUACUUAAUUGGGAAAAAAAAUUGUAGACUAGAUGAAAAAAUAUUAAAAAAUUCAAGUACUUCCCAUGUAAUUAUUUCUCAACUUAACUGUAGAUUUGAGGCUCAAAUGUUGGAUAAGAUCGAGUCAACUACAUUAAUUUCAUUUCUGCGCUAGAGAACUAAUAAGUCUUAUAAGUGAUGGACAUUAGGGCUUCAGUUUUACACAAAUGGUACACCUUGUUAACUUUCAAGAUUAGCACAUAUUUUUGGUAGAGGCCACUACAAUC
rnacentral:misc_RNA from 1 species